rnacentral:rRNA from 1 species
UUCGGGAGCCGAAGACAGGUGCUGCAUGGCUGUCGUCAGCUCGUGUCGUGAGAUGUUGGGUUAAGUCCCGCAACGAGCGCAACCCCCUAUCUCUAGUUGCCAGCGAUUCGGUCGGGGACUCUAGAGAUACUGCCCCGGUUAACGGGGAGGAAGGUGGGGAUGACGUCAAGUCCUCAUGGCCCUUAUGCCCAGGGCUACACACGUGCUACAAUGGGCGGUACAAAGGGUAGCGAUGCCGCGAGGUGAAGCCAAUCCCAAAAAGCCGUCCACAGUUCGGAUUGGAGUCUGCAACUCGACUCCAUGAAGCCGGAAUCGCUAGUAAUCGUGGAUCAGCAUGCCACGGUGAAUACGUUCCCGGGCCUU